GGAAGACGCCAGCAAUCAGGUUUGGGCGAUUCCCGGUCCGGGUGGUGGAUCACGCGCGUUCUGUGACCGUAUGAAUUCAUGGGCGCAGGGGGAAGGCCAGCCGGGCCUCGGCUACAUCAUGUGGCGNCGAAGGUGGCGAGGGCGCGGGCCCGCUCGCCAACAACAUCGGACCCGAGCGCACCGCCGCGGUCCGUGAACAGCUUGGCCUGAAGGAAGGCGACGCUGCGUUCUUCGUCGCGGGCGAUCCGCAGAAGUUCU
rnacentral:misc_RNA from 1 species